GGGAUUUGUAUGCAAAAUGUAGAUUGUAUAUGCUGCUAUUAAAACUCUAUUUUUAAAAAUUUAUUAGUGUAGUCAGCUGUCAUCUGAAAAAGUGCUUUAGAAGAUAACUCUUCAGUCAAAGAACACCAAAUCAACACUUSAUAUUGCUGCUGAGCACCAAAAUACGUCUGAAAUUUGAGGCAACAGUGUCACUUUUCUAUGUAUGGAGAGCCACUAACCCAAAGGAACAGAAAGAACUUUAAGAAGCUGUUACUGAAGUGUCUAUUUAUUUGGUAUGGUUAUAAUUGACAAAGGAAAGCAACCUGACAAAAUGCAGCGUGCUGGUUCCGGAACRCAGAUUCUGCCUCUCAGCAUUAAACAAGUAAAAAUCUAAUGGGACCCGUGAGAUUGCACUAAAAGAGCAAGCAAUGGCCAAAACUACACUCUCUAUCAAUUUUUUUUUUUUUAACUUGCUCACAGGAACAUUUUUGAAUUGCUGUAGGAAGRGAACCUGUGAACAGCAAGCACUUUCUAAAGUUUGUUAGCCUAAUACGAUUGUAAUUGGUUAUGAAUUCAAUUAUUUGGAAGCUUCCCUUAUACCAUUUUAGUUUUCAGUUCUCGGAUCAAGGAUGCAGUGAUUCAUGUACCUGGAUAACAGCCUAGAAGAAAAUUUUGCAAAAUAAAGGAAGGAGAAGAAUCUGUGAAUGAGUCUUUCUGAAAUUUUGAGAAAUUCUGGAAGAAUAGGGAGCCAAAAUCUGUGCUAAAUAUUCAGAGUGGAAGUACAAGCAUAGAGGAACCAAUUCUCUGUACCCUUUCUCUCUCCUUCAUAAUGACUGAAAAUUGUGAAAGGCUUAAAGGGAAUGAAAAGGAUUCUUAAGGGGAACAAGUCCUUGGACCUGUCUUGAACUGAGGAUGAAGAAGAAAUAUACACUGUGUGGAUCCAUAUCUGAUGAAAUUCAUGGAAGAGCCUUGGGAGACUUGGAAGGAGCAGGAAUGGUGUCUUUGACCUCUGUCUAUCUAGCAACACAGAGACUGCAGAAAACACUUUGAACAUAUGUAACAACUAUAGAUUAAUUAUAACUGUCUUUGCAAAUUUUAUGUAGCUUGCUGUUUGCAGUGAAAUGGAAUUUUAGAGGUCAGUAUCAUGUGUUAU
rnacentral:lncRNA from 1 species